CGGUGAAUACGUUCCCGGACCUUGUACACACCGCCCGUCAAGCCAUGGAAGCCGGGUGUGCCUAAAGUCGAUAACCGUAAGGAGUCGCCUAGGGUAAAACUGGUGACUGGGGCU
rnacentral:rRNA from 1 species